AGAAUGAACGCUGGCGGCAUGCCUAACACAUGCAAGUCGAACGAAGGCUUCGGCCUUAGUGGCGCACGGGUGCGUAACGCGUGGGAAUCUACCCUUAGGUUCGGAAUAACAGUUGGAAACGACUGCUAAUACCGGAUGAUGACGUAAGUCCAAAGAUUUAUCGCCUAGGGAUGAGCCCGCGUAGGAUUAGCUAGUUGGUGUGGUAAAGGCGCACCAAGGCGACGAUCCUUAGCUGGUCUGAGAGGAUGAUCAGCCACACUGGGACUGAGACACGGCCCAGACUCCUACGGGAGGCAGCAGUGGGGAAUAUUGGACAAUGGGCGAAAGCCUGAUCCAGCAAUGCCGCGUGGAGGAUGACGGCCUUCGGGUUGUAACUCCUUUUCGGGGAUGAUAAUGACAGUACCCCGGAAUAAGGCUCGGCUAACUCUGCGCCAGCAGCCGC
rnacentral:rRNA from 1 species